UAUGCUUAAAAUUUUUUUACGAAAGUCUAAAGAGUCUCCUAAAUAGACUAUGAGCUAGAGCUAUUUUCUGAGAUCCCAGCACAAGAACAUUUGAAACACUCAUCCAGUACAUUACCUAAAUGUUAAUUGUUACAUAUCGUAGAAUUGCUACCCUUGCAUCUAGUAGUUUGAUCUCUACUAGCCGUUGAUUCUUCGUUUCCAUCUGACACCGAAAUAAUGCGUACCUGACAGUUAGCAAUUCAAGACCAAGUACAAAUAGGAGUCACAUUAGUUGGGUACCUACUACAUCCUGUACAAUAAACAACCGGAAUGAAUGAUUACUAAUUACUUAUGUCUUAAAGAUUACCUACAGACCCUAUCUAAAAAUUAAUUUACCAAACACACCACAAGCUAAUUACGCACAAUCGCUCAAAAACCACCUGCAUGGAGAUAAAAAAAUCAAAUAAAAAUCGCGGACUCGACUACAAUCUUCAGUAAGCAAAUAGACUCAUCAAGAUGACUAAACUAACUCUCGUGAUUUUGUCUUUGGCAUUAGUGUUGUGCCUAAUAUCACUAUCAGGAGUAUCGUGUGAAUAUGACGUUGAUGGAUCGGACGCUGAUCAGGAUGCUUUCCAUGAUGCCUUGGACUGGGACGAGGGUGGUCAUUUUGAAAGUAAAAGACAUUUAAAACCACAAAAGAAGAAGAAUUCGUUUCAAUAAUAUGCACAUACAAACAUAUUUCUGAUAUGUAUCAAUUGUUUAUUGCUUAAUUUUGGUGAUAUACCUACUAAUAAAUGUACUGCAAUUUCA